CUCUCGUCAGUCGCGUGUUGGUCCUUUCAGAUGUCGGUGUGUUUUCUGUUUUCUAUCAUAUUUACAUUCUGGUAAUAUAGACGUCAACAGUUCGGUUGAAGCAGCGUCUGUACAGUUUCAUGAGGUGAGUGAUGUUCUGUCUAUUUUGCUUUAAGUAUACUGCACACUUGCAUUGUUUUGUUCGUCCUUGACUUAAUAAAACAUAAAAGGAAUUUUGACGUUUUAGUCCAUUUCUUGUCAGAGCACUCUGUGAAAAGAUGAUAUAUGAAAACAAGCAUUUUCAGUAUUUUUAGAGAAGUUUUUUUUGAUUAUAAAUGUGCUCAGAAAAGAAAACUGCAGGACUAAAAGUAAAAGUGUUCCUUUAAUGAAUCUGUUUUUUGUGGUGAACAUGACAGAUUAUUGAUGAUGCAGACAUUCAUAUGAUGAUAGAUGCUCCAGUGGCUACGUUUACAUGCACACUACUGCUCCACUAUUAUUUUAAGUAAUGAAAGUAUGUAAAAUUUAGUAUGGGUUGUGUAAAGUGCAUAUUCUGUUUGGAUAUUUCAAAUCAGUCUUGUCUUAAAUGUAGUAUUUUCUGAUUGCGAUGUGGCAUAUGUCGGUAUUUUUUUUGGGUUUAAUAGCAUUCUUUGGACAAGUACACAGCGCAUUUCGAAUACGCAUCUUAGCUGGAGUUUAUUUCUCGUUGAAAGGAUAAACACACCUACUUUUAAACAUUAUGAAAGAGUUUGGUAUCAGCAUGUUUUUUGGAAUAUGCACAAAUAUCACACAACGCUGACCUUUCCGAGACAGCUGUUUGAGCAUUGAAAGAGAGGCUGCAGGAAAUUUUGAAAGAACCCGGUCACAAGUUUUCUUCUUUUUGUCGUAAUGAAUGAUGUUAGUGCACAUUAAUCAGAGCACGCACAGCCGCAUGCAAACAGGAGUGUUAGUGAAAUAUUAAUAUUCAUUAGCCAUGUAAACAGCUUAGUGGGAAUAUUGUCUUUGUUAAAAAAAAAUAGGGCAGAAUCGGAAUAUUUUGUGCAUGUAAACGCAGUCAUUGUUUGAAGAGGUGAACUGUGA